rnacentral:rRNA from 1 species
CUACGAGAGGUGCAAGCGUUGUUCGGAUUUACUGGGCGUAAAGAGAGUGUAGGUGGUUUAUUAAGUCGGAUGUGAAAUCCCGGGGCUCAACCUCGGAACUGCAUUCGAUACUGAUAGGCUAGAGUUUGGGAGGGGUAAGCGGAAUUCCGUGUGUAGCAGUGAAAUGCGUAGAUAUACGGAGGAACACCUGAGGCGAAGGCGGCUUACUGGACCAAUACUGACACUGAGACUCGAAAGCGUGGGUAGCAAACAGGAUUAGAUACCCCAGUAGUCC